UAAAGUAUAUAUCUGUUGCAGAGCACUGCAGCAACAGAAUGAAUAUUGCAAUAAUCAGGCAGCGUUAACAGAACAUUAGAUUUUUACACCAACUGCAACCCAUUUUAAAGUGCAUGCAAAGGUCCAUAUAAGUCACUUUUUUUUUAACCUGAAAUAAUGGUCUGGAGUGCAUGAGAAAGGGGGGAAAUAGCUCUUUUUGACCAAGCUGUCAUUAAUUAUAAAGUAUUACAUAUAUAUAAUAUAAUGUAAAGAUGUUCAAUAAUAUCGUACUGCCGAUAUUAUCGGCCGAUAAACGCUUUAAAAUGUAAUAUAGGAAAUUAUCGUAUCAGUUUCAAAAAGUUAAAUUUAUGACUUUUUAAAAUGCCGCUGUACGGAGUGGUACACUGACGUAGAGAGAAGUACAGAGCAGUUGCGUCUCCCAGUCAUACUUGCCAACUCUCCCGAUUUUCCCGGGAGACUCCCGAAUUUCAGUGCCCCUACUGAAAUUCUCCCUUGGCAACCAUUGUAACAAAUUUCUCCCAAUUUCCCCCCGGACAACAAUAUUUGGGGCGUGCCGGCCCAACCACAUAAUAUCUACGGCUUUUUAUACACUCAAGUGAAUGCAAACAUACUUGGUCAACAGCCAUACAGGUCACACUGCGGGUGGCCGUAUAAACAUCUUUAACACUGUUACAAAUAUGCGCCACACUGUGAACCCACGCCAAACAAGAAUGACAAACACAUUUCGGGAGAACAUCCGCACCGUAACACAACAUAAACACAAAAGAACAAAUACCCAGAACCCCUUGCAGCACUAACUCUUCCGGCACACUACAAUAUACACCCCCCCCUACCCCGCCCACCUCAACCUCCUCAUGCUCUCUCAGGGAAAGAAUGUCCCAAAUUCCAAGCUGCUGUUUUGAGGCAUGUUAAAAAAAAUAAUGCACUUUGUGACUUCAAUAAUAAAUAUGGCAGUGCCAUGUUGGCAUUUUUUUUCCAUAAUUUGAGUUGAUUUAUUUUGGAAAACCUUGUUACAUUGUUUAAUGCAUCCAGCGGGGCAUCACAACAAAAUUAGGCAUAAAAAUGUGUUAUUCUACGACUGUAUAUAUCGGUAUCAGUUGAUAUCGGAAUCAGUAAUUAAGAGUUGGACAAUAUCGGAAUAUCGGCUAAAAAGCCAUUAUCGGACAUCUCUAGUAUAAAGUUUAUAUUUGUUGCACAACACUGCAGCAACAGAACCAAUGUUGUAAUAAUCAGCCAGCGUUAACAGAACAUACGAUUUUUACACCCUCUGCAACCCAUUUUAAAGGGUAUGCAGAGGUCCAUAUAAGUCACUUUUUUUAACCUGAAAUAAUGAUCUGGAGUGCAUGAGAAAGGUGAUAAAAAUGACUGUUUUUGACCAAGUUGUCAUUAUUUAUAAAGUAUAUUCAGUGGCCUUGUGGUUAGAGUGUUCGCCCUGAGAUCGGUAGGUAGUGAGUUCAAACCCCCAGCCAAGUCAUACCAAAGACUAUAAAAAUGGGACCCAUUACCUCCCUGCAGGGGUUAGUGGAAUUGGGGGUUAAAUCACCAAAUUGAUUCCCGAGUGUGCUGCUCACUGCUCCCCUCACAAGGUGAUGGGUCAAAUGCAGAGGGUAAUAUCACCACACCUAGCGUGUGUGAGACUAGCAGUGGUACUUUAACUUUAAUAAUGCACCGCUACAACAGAAUGCUGCAGAAAACUGCCUCGUCAGCAUCAUUGUGGCGAUUCGUUUACUGUAAACACACCGUUUUUACACCAGCAACUCAGCAGAAAUAAAUUGUAUUUAUUUUUUAUUUUUAACAAUAAUUUAGAUACUUUUGCAGACCUCACACCUGGCGACUAUAUGAACGACGAUGAAAUGGAGGCAUGCAUUUACAUCAUGGACAGUAAAGAUGACUUGUACCAUGAAGAAUCAUUUACUCUUAAAACAUCUUUUUAAGAACAAACGUUAAGAUCUGUGUCAAGACUCUUCUUGCACUGUUACGCUUCCAGCACAUUCCGAGUUCAUCUGUGUGAACACUUGCAAUGUUAAUAGUGAUGGUCCGAGCAAGUGACAAGAUGGAGAAGACAGUUGUAUCCCAGCAAGCACAAGACGUGAAAACAACGUUGAGAACUUGUUGAGUUAAGUCCUGACGGUGAGCAACUCAAACUUAAAAAUACAAAUAUUCUACAACACAAAUACGACGUUGAAACAACAUGCUUUUUGACGACGUUCAUUCAAUGUCAGGUUGUGACGAUGAUUUGAGUGUUGAAAUUUGGUAAUUUCCCGACAAACAACGUGGAUCCAACGAUAGACAUCAACGUUGUCUCAGUUUACAAUUACCACUAUUUUGCAACGUUGUUUCAAGGUCAGUUUUAAAGGACGUGUGCGUGUAAUCAACGUUGUAUCAAUUUCUUGUGCCUGCUGGGGUUAUUUCAUGAAAGCGCUAUGUUCUCAGUUUCUUAUCUGUUUUAUUGUGUUGAAAUGUGUUAAGUAAACCACCAAAAAUACGA